rnacentral:rRNA from 1 species
GGUUAAGUUAGAAAGGGCGCACGGUGGAUGCCUUGGCACUAGGAGCCGAUGAAGGACGGGACGAACACCGAUAUGCUUCGGGGAGCUGUAAGCAAGCUUUGAUCCGGAGAUUUCCGAAUGGGGAAACCCACCACUCGUAAUGGAGUGGUAUCCAUAUCUGAAUACAUAGGAUAUGAGAAGGCAGACCCGGGGAACUGAAACAUCUAAGUACCCGGAGGAAGAGAAAGCAAAUGCGAUUCCCUGAGUAGCGGCGAGCGAAACGGGAUCAGCCCAAACCAAGAGGCUUGCCUCUUGGGGUUGUAGGACACUCUGUACGGAGUUACAAAGGAACGAGGUAGAUGAAGAGGUCUGGAAAGGCCCGCCAUAGGAGGUAACAGCCCUGUAGUCAAAACUUCGUUCUCUCCUGAGUGGAUCCUGAGUACGGCGGAACACGUGAAAUUCCGUCGGAAUCCGGGAGGACCAUCUCCCAAGGCUAAAUACUCCCUAGUGACCGAUAGUGAACCAGUACCGUGAGGGAAAGGUGAAAAGCACCCCGGAAGGGGAGUGAAAGAGAUCCUGAAACCGUGUGCCUACAAGUAGUCAGAGCCCGUUAACGGGUGAUGGCGUGCCUUUUGUAGAAUGAACCGGCGAGUUACGAUCCCGUGCAAGGUUAAGCAGAAGAUGCGGAGCCGCGGCCGAAAGCGAGUCUGAAUAGGGCGAAUUGAGUACGUGGUCGUAGACCCGAAACCAGGUGAUCUACCCAUGUCCAGGGUGAAGUUCAGGUAACACUGAAUGGAGGCCCGAACCCACGCACGUUGAAAAGUGCGGGGAUGAGGUGUGGGUAGGGGUGAAAUGCCAAUCGAACCUGGAGAUAGCUGGUUCUCUCCGAAAUAGCUUUAGGGCUAGCCUCAAGGUAAGAGUCUCGGAGGUAGAGCACUGAUUGGACUAGGGGCCCCUACCGGGUUACCGAAUUCAGUCAAACUCCGAAUGCCGAUGACUUAUCCUUGGGAGUCAGACUGCGAGUGAUAAGAUCCGUAGUCGAAAGGGAAACAGCCCAGACCGCCAGCUAAGGUCCCAAAGUAUACGUUAAGUGGAAAAGGAUGUGGAGUUGCUUAGACAACCAGGAUGUUGGCUUAGAAGCGACCACCAUUUAAAGAGUGCGUAAUAGCUCACUGGUCGAGUGACUCUGCGCCGAAAAUGUACCGGGGCUAAACGUAUCACCGAAGGCGCGGACUGUUCUUCGAACAGUGGUAGGAGAGCGUUCUAAGGGCUGUGAAGCAAGACCGGAAGGACUUGUGGAGCGCUUAGAAGUGAGAAUGCCGGUAUGAGUAGCGAAAGAGGGGUGAGAAUCCCCUCCACCGAAUGCCUAAGGUUUCCUGAGGAAGGCUCGUCCGCUCAGGGUUAGUCGGGACCUAAGCCGAGGCCGAAAGGCGUAGGCGAUGGAUAACAGGUUGAUAUUCCUGUACCACCUCCUCACCAUUUGAGCAAUGGGGGGACGCAGGAGGAUAGGGUAAGCGCGGUAUUGGAUAUCCGCGUCCAAGCAGUUAGGCUGGGAAAUAGGCAAAUCCGUUUCCCGUGAAGGCUGAGCUGUGAUGGCGAGCGAAUUAUAGUAGCGAAGUUCCUGAUUCCACACUGCCAAGAAAAGCCUCUAGCGAGGUGAGAGGUGCCCGUACCGCAAACCGACACAGGUAGGCGAGGAGAGAAUCCUAAGGUGAUCGAGAGAACUCUCGUUAAGGAACUCGGCAAAAUGACCCCGUAACUUCGGGAGAAGGGGUGCUCUGUUAGGGUGCAAGCCCGAGAGAGCCGCAGUGAAUAGGCCCAGGCGACUGUUUAGCAAAAACACAGGUCUCUGCGAAGCCGUAAGGCGAAGUAUAGGGGCUGACGCCUGCCCGGUGCUGGAAGGUUAAGAGGAGCGCUUAGCGUAAGCGAAGGUGCGAAUUGAAGCCCCAGUAAACGGCGGCCGUAACUAUAACGGUCCUAAGGUAGCGAAAUUCCUUGUCGGGUAAGUUCCGACCCGCACGAAAGGCGCAACGAUCUGGGCACUGUCUCAACGAGAGACUCGGUGAAAUUAUAGUACCUGUGAAGAUGCAGGUUACCCGCGACAGGACGGAAAGACCCCGUGGAGCUUUACUGCGGCCUGAUAUUGAAUGUUGGUACAGCUUGUACAGGAUAGGUAGGAGCCUUGGAAACCGGAGCGCCAGCUUCGGUGGAGGCAUCGGUGGGAUACUACCCUGGCUGUAUUGACCUUCUAACCCGCCGCCCUUAUCGGGCGGGGAGACAGUGUCAGGUGGGCAGUUUGACUGGGGCGGUCGCCUCCUAAAAGGUAACGGAGGCGCCCAAAGGUUCCCUCAGAAUGGUUGGAAAUCAUUCGCAGAGUGUAAAGGCACAAGGGAGCUUGACUGCGAGACCUACAAGUCGAGCAGGGACGAAAGUCGGGCUUAGUGAUCCGGUGGUUCCGCAUGGAAGGGCCAUCGCUCAACGGAUAAAAGCUACCCCGGGGAUAACAGGCUUAUCUCCCCCAAGAGUCCACAUCGACGGGGAGGUUUGGCACCUCGAUGUCGGCUCAUCGCAUCCUGGGGCUGUAGUCGGUCCCAAGGGUUGGGCUGUUCGCCCAUUAAAGCGGUACGCGAGCUGGGUUCAGAACGUCGUGAGACAGUUCGGUCCCUAUCCGUCGCGGGCGCAGGAAAUUUGAGAGGAGCUGUCCUUAGUACGAGAGGACCGGGAUGGACGCACCGCUGGUGUACCAGUUGUUCUGCCAAGGGCAUCGCUGGGUAGCUAUGUGCGGACGGGAUAAGUGCUGAAAGCAUCUAAGCAUGAAGCCCCCCUCAAGAUGAGAUUUCCCAUUCCGCAAGGAAGUAAGAUCCCUGAAAGAUGAUCAGGUUGAUAGGUCUGAGGUGGAAGUGUGGCGACACAUGGAGCUGACAGAUACUAAUCGAUCGAGGACUUAACCAA